GUGGGGAAUAUUGGACAAUGGGGGGAACCCUGAUCCAGCCAUGCCGCGUGUGUGAAGAAGGCCUUUUGGUUGUAAAGCACUUUAAGCGAGGAGGAGGCUACCGAGAUUAAUACUCUUGGAUAGUGGACGUUACUCGCAGAAUAAGCACCGGCUAACUCUGUGCCAGCAGCCGCGGUAAUACAGAGGGUGCAAGCGUUAAUCGGAUUUACUGGGCGUAAAGCGCGCGUAGGUGGCCAAGUAAGUCAAAUGUGAAAUCCCCGAGCUUAACUUGGGAAUUGCAUUCGAGACUGGUGGGCUAGAGUAUGGGAGAGGAUGGUAGAAUUCCAGGUGUAGCGGUGAAAUGCGUAGAGAUCUGGAGGAAUACCGAUGGCGAAGGCAGCCAUCUGGCCUAAUACUGACACUGAGGUGCGAAAGCAUGGGGAGCAAACAGGAUUAGAUACCGAGUAGUCC
rnacentral:rRNA from 1 species